ACUCAACACGAAUUCUUUAAAAAGGGUGAGUCGUUGUUGUAAAAGCGCGCCGUUACCGGUUUCAAUCGGUUGGACGGAUUCUUGAUCAGCACGUUAAUCCUAAACUUGUUUUUAAGGAGUUU
rnacentral:sRNA from 1 species